GAAGUUUGUUUAAUUGGAGAGUUUUUAUUUUUAAAUCUUAAUUUUGGAUUUUUUUUGAUUUCUUCUUUGGAUUGUGAAUUACCCCCUCCCCCCAACCUUUGUUUCUUUUUCCAUUACACAAGUACACGAAAUUUCAUAAUUCAGUCCAUAGGGUUUGACUUGGACUUAAAAAAUUUUAUUAUGUUUAAUUUAAUUUCUGGUGGAAUCCACAACCAUCAAUAUCCCAUAAAAACAUCCGCUGAACAAACAAGAGCAUAUAUUGACAACUUCAAAGAUUACAAAAGCUUCACUUCAGAAACCCAUAAAACUAAUUCAAAAAUUCAGAUUAAAUUUUAACACAAAAACAAGUUUACACUUUGUUUAGUAGCAAACAAAAAUAAAUUCAUUUAAUUUGCAAUUGAAUUCUAAUAGGCACAAUCUAGGACUCAAAAGGGUAACACAAUUCAUACCGAGGCCAACAAAUUCAACUGA
rnacentral:misc_RNA from 1 species